AGCUUUGCGCAGUGGCGAUAUCGUAAGCAAUGAGGUUCAACCGAGCUGCGAUUAUUGCUGAUUGAAAACUAGACCAAUUACCCGCCUUAGGGACGAGCCUCGACUCGUUUUCGCUUUGGCAAUUUUUGGAAGUCCCGCAAGGGA